GACGAACGCUGGCGGCGCGCCUAACACAUGCAAGUCGAGCGAUGAAAUUUUAACCGCUCUCUUCGGAGAGAAGAUAAAAUGGAUUAGCGGCGGACGGGUGAGUAACACGUGAGAAACCUGCCUUUCACAAGGGGAUAGCCUCGGGAAACCGGGAUUAAUACCCUAUGACACAUUUCCUUCGCAUGGAAGAAAUGUUAAAACUCCGGUGGUGAAAGAUGGUCUCGCGCCUGAUUAGCUAGUUGGUGGGGUAACGGCCCACCAAGGCCAUGAUCAGUAACCGGCCUGAGAGGGUGAACGGUCACAUUGGAACUGAGACACGGUCCAAACUCCUACGGGAGGCAGCAGUGGGGAAUAGUGCACAAUGGAGGAAACUCUGAUGCAGCGACGCCGCGUGAGCGAUGAAGGCUUUCGAGUCGUAAAGCUCUGUCCUAUGGGAAGAUAAUGACGGUACCAAAGGAGGAAGCCCCGGCUAACUACGUG
rnacentral:rRNA from 1 species